rnacentral:tRNA from 1 species
GCCGGGGUGGUGGAAUAGGUAGACGCGCUGGACUCAAAAUCCAGUGCCCGUGAGGGCGUGCGGGUUCGAUUCCCGCCCCCGGCACCA